GUCAGUUAGUUAGCUAUCGACGCCGGAGAAAAUACCGUGAAAUAUACUACUCGCAAUGUAGAUGGCACUGGAAUGUAACUUUGUCUGACGUUCCGUGUGUAGGGAAAUCGUACGUGGUAGCCAUUUUGAGAUAGCGAGUGGACUGGAGUUAUGGAAAGAUUGUCGCAAGUGAAGAAGGCUGGUACUGAUGUCUGCCUGGGCAUGCAGGGCGUCCCCCCCCCUGCCCACAUUCUCUGAAGAAAUCCUGUAUGGAAGGUCUGGAGGGCCACCUGUGAGAAUGCAGUUGCAUGCAACAGUGUGCUAUGAUGCCCGACUCUGAAGGCAGCAGUUAGUGGUCCCUGCAGGACAUCUGGAUAUGGCACUGUGUUGAAAUGGUAAAGAUUACUGACAUUCUUGAGGAACUUGCUCCACCUUCUUGCGUUGGAGGUGAACUGUCAGUAAUCGUUGCCAUUUUGACACGUGCUGUACUCAGAGACAGGACAUUCUUCCCCGCCAUACAACAUCCAUGAGGAGAAUAGGUUUCUGCACCCCUUGCUACUCCACAGGCAGCCUCUGUAUUAAAUUCCUGGACUGGCAUCUCCAAAGGAAGGCUGACCCCAGUGACGCAGGAGUUUCUACAUGAUUGAAGACUGCGCACUGUCAUCCUUCCCAUAUGAGCACCAUCUGCAUGGAGCCCCUGUACUAAAGAUGGCCAGGAGGAGGAAACACGAUGCUUACAUGGGGCCCCUGAGGUGGUGUAAUAUCUGCAUGUAGAAUUCUACAGAGAGGAGGGAGGAUGAUGAGAAGUACAAGAGUUCCUGCAUUGGAGAGGACGUGUGUGGGGUGCCAUGGAAAUUCAUUUUCUACGAGAUAGUGCGCAACAGAAACUUUAAUUCUUUUUGGCGUCAUAAAACCACUGCUCCUGCUUCCCUCCUCAGAGUGCAUACACACUUCCUUCUAAUGCAUUGCAAAUUUACACACAUUUCAAUUAAAAACAGAAUUGCUUUUAUUGUAAUGUAACAAUUAAUUUUUGUAAUAUAUAUAUAUAGUGUUGAAUAAUGUUUGAUGUUAUGAGGUGUCACGGUGUAAUUGAGUGAUGAAAUAAAAGGUGUGGAAGUUUGCUGCAAUGUGAUGCUGAGAAGAAGUGAAGUUCCUUGUGCGCACUAUCUCGUAGGAAAUAAAUUUCCAUGGGGCCCCACACAUGUCCUCUGCAACGUGAAGCCAUCCAUGAGUAUCCUUGUGAUCUCCCCAACCUGCAAACAAACAAGAGAAAAUUAGAAUUUGUACACCUCACCUUGCAACUUACUGGCCAUCUUGAGAUAGGGCCAGUAAGUUGCUCUGAAAUAUGAAUGCUGUAAGAGAGCUUUCAGUCACAAAUAAACACAUUGUACAAAUAAUA